rnacentral:lncRNA from 1 species
CUUUCUCAUUGCUGCAAAACUGCCAUGUCAAUAUAUAAACACGGUCAGUUUACGAUUAAAUGUAAAUAAUUGUCGCUCUUGGGGUAAGUUUUAUAUGUAAAUAACGUAUCAUUCAUUAUUUUUUCGGCUUUUACUUCCUAACCGGUGUUAUAAUGUCAGGGUUAAAAUGUGUGAGGAGCCCACCACCAUACUAGAUUACGAUGAAGUUCCACCUCUCCUGCAUUCAUUUUCGAAUAACAUGGGUCCAUUGCAUGUGAACAGCACCAGUGGCUAAUUCUUGUAAAAAUCAGUGCCUAUACGUUCAUCCAUCUCCAUGCUACUCAUGCCCUUCUAAGCUUAUUCCAGCAAGUCCAUAAAUAAUAUCUUGAUUCCGAACCUUUUAAUAUGAAAAGAAAAAAGAAAUUCUUUUUUUAUGCAAUCAGUCUUUAAGAGAUAGCAUCAUGUUGGUCCAAUAUCUGCCAUGGUCGCUACAAGAUUUUCUAAACCCGAUUCAUUAUUGGUAGCCUUUAAGAGAUAGCAUCAUGUUGGUCCAAUAUAAAAAAGUUCAGAGCUUCCACAAGAAUGUCUUGAUUGGGAGCGGAUGUUAUCGUACCUACACCACAGCAAAAUAUAGAACUGGAAAUUCAAAUAAGGAUUUAAUAUGAAUAUGUGAAUGGGAGAUACUGGUAAAAUCUGAUUUGGUUUAACUCUUUAAGAUAAUCAAAAUCUCACGUAAAACACGUUCUUUCUCGUGAACUGCAUUAGCUUCUCUAUAAACUUUCAAGAGGGACUGAAAACCAACCAUCCCUGCUUCUGUUAGCGUUCCCCAUAACAGCAAUGUAGGCAGC